rnacentral:rRNA from 1 species
UAUAACAGGUACGGGCUCUGCGAGGAGGGGCCCGGAGAUGGGUACUGAGACACGGACCCAGGCCCUAUGGGGCGCAGCAGGCGAGAAACCUUUGCAAUGUGCGAAAGCACGACAAGGUUAAUCCGAGUGUCUCCUGCUAAAGGAGUCUUUUGUCAGUUGUAGAAUCACUGGUGAAUAAGGGGUGGGCAAGUUCUGGUGUCAGCCGCCGCGGUAAAACCAGCACCUCGAGUGGUCAGGAGGUUUAUUGGGCCUAAAGCAUCCGUAGCCGGUUGCAUAAGUUUUCGGUUAAAUCUAUGCGCUUAACGUAUAGGCCGCCGAAAAUACUGUGCAGCUAGGGAGUGGGAGAGGUACACGGUACUCGAUAGGAAGGGGUAAAAUCCUUUGAUCUAUUGAAGACCACCUGUGGCGAAGGCGGUGUACCAGAACACGUUCGACGGUGAGGGAUGAAAGCUGGGGGAGCAAACCGGAUUAGAUACCCGGGUAGUCCCAGCUGUAAACGAUGCAGACUCGGUGAUGCAUUGGCUUGUGGCCAAUGCAGUGCCGCAGGGAAGCCGUUAAGUCUGCCGCCUGGGAAGUACGUACGCAAGUAUGAAACUAAGGAAUUGGCGGGGGAGCACCACAAGGGAGAAGCUGCGGUUCAAUUGGAGUCAACC